UUUUUUCUUCUCUCUUUUUCCCAACAGAGGGGGAUGUUAUGUUAGCUAGCUGGCUAUGGCUACCCAACAGAGGGGGAUGUUAGCUAGCUGGCUAUGGCUACCCAACAGAGAGGGAUGUUAGCUAGCUGGCUAUGGCUACCCAACAGAGGGGGAUGUUAUGUUAGCUAGCUGGCUGUGGCUAUUUAACACUAGAACUCUUCCAAGUCAAGGACCUUACUUUAGUGACGGAGGACGGCGACCCGACCACCCUCGCAUCGAGUGCCUUUCCAAAACAAAUCAGCUGUUCAAAUUCAGUGCCAACCAGAGUGUCUCCACAAGAAACCCACAACAUGGCAAUCCACAAAGUUCCUAACUGCUCUGGAUAAUCUCUUGGGGUGGGAGAAGAAGAAACAAUGACACAAAAAGCCUUUUGAUAAAGGAAUGGUGGUUGUCUUUUUCCUUUUGGCCUUUUGAAAACUAAGGUUGUUUUUGUUGUUGUUGCAAUUUCUCUCAUGGGUUUGGCCAAAUGUACAUUGAAAUACACAGGUACUGGAACCACUUGACCUAACCAUACCAAACGCUUCUUCCAGACCACUUAAAUCAAAUGAGUUCUGUUUGUUUUUAAAAGAAAAUGUGAUGUACCAUUGAAAAAUCUAACCUGAUUGUAAGUUUAAUUUCAGACCUUUUAACAGCUGUCUGUUUUGUUUUCAAAAUACUUUUAAUACAAAUUGCAUUUUUCUAAGACACAUUCUUGUUUUCUCUCUUUGUAUGUGUUGUUUCAGUUCUUUAUCAGGUAAAUCAAAUCCACUAUUGAGCAGUCUGCUCUCUAGGUUACCAGUGGGGCAGUCUGCUCUCUAGGUUACCAGUGGGGCAGUCUGCUCUCUAGGUUACCAGUGGGGCNNNNNNNNNNNNNNNNNNNNNNNNNUGCAGUCUGCUCUCUAGGUUACCAGGGGGGCAGUCUGCUCUCUAGGUUACCAGUGGGGCAGUCUGCUCUCUAGGUUACCAGUGGGGCAGUCUGCUCCUAGGUUACCAGUGGGCAGUCUGCUCUCUAGGUUUACCAGUGGGCGUCUGCUCUCUAGGUUACCAGUGGGGCAGUCUGCUCUCUAGGUUACCAGUGGGGCGAGUCUGCUCUCUAGGUCCAGUGGGGCAGUUGCUCCUUAGGUUACCAGUGGGGCGUCUGCUCUCUAGGUUACCAGUGGGGCAGUCUGCUCUCUAGGUUACCAGUGGGGCAGUCUGCUCCUAGGUUACCAGUGGGGCACGUCUGCUCUCUAGGUUACCAGUGGGGCAGUCUGCCUCUCUAGGUUACCCGUGGGGCAGUCUGCUCUCUAGGUUACACGGGUGCGUCUGCUCUCCUAGGUUACCAGUGGGGCAGUCUGCUCUCUAGGUACAGUGGGGCAGUCUGCUCUCUAGGUUACCAGUGGGGCAGUCUGCUCUCUAGGUUACCAGUGGGGCAGUCUGCUCUCUAGGUACCAUGGGGCAGUCUGCUCUCUAGGUUACCA
rnacentral:lncRNA from 1 species